CACUAACGGAUCACCGUGUGUGCGCGCACUGGCACUCCAUUUUUGGUGCACUCAGAAUUUCCAAACGGUAAAAUCGAGCAACGCACUGAAUUUUGGAGCCAUCACACUUGAAAUAGUGCGCGCUGGGAGUAAAUUUCCGAACGCGCCGGUAGUCGCCACUCGUUUUUCAACCGAUCUUCAAAAUAUUUACUUUUUGUCAAUAGAUAGAUGACAAAUGCUAAAGCGUGUAAAUUUAACGUAAGAAAAAGAGACCAACAUUUUUUGAUUUACCUAUUAACAUUUCGUCCCAGGUUCCUGAUUGUAUGACGUUGUACGUGUCGCUGCCCUCCAACCAUGCUUUGGCGGCGACCUCCCUGCGAUCUUGCUUCGGCACAAGCCCUGCGGCCGCCCUCGCCACCUGUCUGGCCCCCAGGACAGCCACCAAGUACCUUUCGUUAUUCUUGAUUUUCACAAAAAUAUACAGAUGUGAGGCAGGACCUUAUUUCUCUGUUGGCCUAGCUGGGGGAAAGGGACAUAUAGCUAUAUUUUUAAACGAAAUUAUACUGUAGAGGGCAGCAGAAGUAUGUAUAUAUGAUUAAGUAUGGGCUGUAAUAGUCAUCUCCAAAUUCAGUUAAAAUUGAGUCACAUCAUCUUUGUUCAUUUUGUCCCUAUGAAUGUCAGAAAGAAUAACAGCCUUUGAAAGCUGCAAUUUUGUAAUAUGCUGUGACAGCUUCAUCUCUCAGUUAUUGGCUUCGUUUAUCCUGUUGACUCUGACAUGUCAUCAUCAGCACCCUCCACCAUUCCUCUCCUGCUCCUGUCGUGACAACAGAUCAUCAAACAUCUCAGUUUUAUUUGAUUGCAAAAAUGACGGAGGGCGAAUUUGUCUUUCUCACUGUGACUAUGCCUAAUUGAAUGGAGGUAAAUGUUUGACCUUUAUUGCCACUUUGUUUCACCUCAAUUUAUACCAAAUGGCUCGCAAGCAGGAUGACAACAAACUAACUCAUAAAUCAUUUUCAUGUAGUGUUAAUUCUUCCUUGGUGAAAUGGUGAUAUGGGGGCAGGCACACAAAGUGGUGUCCAAAAACGUACACAAACUGGAUGUGGAAACUGUUCUACUAACCCGUGUGUAGGCUGCAAAGAACAUGCUGCAACUUUUGUGCUCGAUCAUGAGAAGCAUUGAUCGUCAUAUGCCAAUCACAUACUUUUCCACAGAAAAGAAAAUUGGUGCCUAAUCGAUUGGAGCACCACUAAUGAGAACUAUUAAAAAGUUUAAACCAUCA